AGCAGUAGCCGCGGGAAUACGUAGGUCCCGAGCGUUGUCCGGAUUUAUUGGGCGUAAAGCGAGCGCAGGCGGUUAGAAAAGUCUGAGGUGAAAGGCAGUGGCUCAACCAUUGUAGGCUUUGGAAACUGUUUAACUUGAGUGCAGAAGGGGAGAGUGGAAUUCCAUGUGUAGCGGUGAAAUGCGUAGAUAUAUGGAGGAACACCGGUGGCGAAAGCGGCUCUCUGGUCUGUAACUGACGCUGAGGCUCGAAAGCGUGGGGAGCGAACAGGAUUAGAUACCCCUGUAGUCCCUGUCUCUUAUACA
rnacentral:rRNA from 1 species